GUCUAGUGGUCUAGGACACCGCCCUUUCACGGCGGUAACAGGGGUUCGAAUCCCCUUGG
rnacentral:tRNA from 1 species